UCAGUAACACGUAGUCAACAUAACCAAAGGACGUGGAUAAACUCGGGAAACUGAGGCUAAACCGCGAUAGUUCAAGAUACCUGGAAUGGUUUUUGAUCAAAAUCAAUAUGGCCUUUGGAUUGGACUGCGUCCGAUCAGGCUGUUGGUGAGGUAAUGGCCCACCAAACCUAUAACCGGUACGGGCUCUGAGAGGAGGAGCCCGGAGAUGGGUACUGAGAUAAGGACCCAGGCCCUAUGGGGCAGCAGCAAGGCGCGAAACCUCUGCAAUAGGCGAAAGCUUGACAGGGUUACUCUGAGUGACUUACGUUAAGAAAGUCUAAAGAAACCUCUAAAAAUGG
rnacentral:rRNA from 1 species